ensembl:rRNA 5S_rRNA 5S ribosomal RNA
AUCUACCGCCAUACCACCCUGAACGCACCCGAUCUCGUCUGAUCUCGGAAGCUAAGCAGGGUCGGGCCUGGUUAGUACUAGGAUGGGAGACCAAAAGACUGUCCCUAAUCCUUGGGCACUGACGUAGUUU